GAUGAAGAACGUAGUGAAAUGCGAUAAGUAAUGUGAAUUGCAGAAUUCAGUGAAUCAUCGAAUCUUUGAACGCACAUUGCGCCCGCUAGUAUUCUGGCGGGCAUGCCUGUCCGAGCGUCAUUUCAACCCUCAGGCCCCCGGGCUUGGUGUUGGGGAUCGGCGAGCCUCCGCGCCCGCCGUCCCCUAAAUCUAGUGGCGGUCUCGCUGUAGCUUCCUCUGCGUAGUAGCACACCUCGCACUGGGAAACAGCGCGGCCACGCCGUUAAACCCCCAACUUCUGAACGUUUGACCUCGGAUCAGGUAGGAAUACCCGCUGAACUUAAGCAUAUCAAUAAGCGGAGGA
rnacentral:misc_RNA from 1 species